rnacentral:rRNA from 1 species
AUGAGCUUUCUGGACAAAUUCUGUGACUAUUACGACAAAAUUGAGGUCUACUGUGAUGGUAUGAUUUUAUACAAUGGCGAACGAGACAAGAAAAUGAAAGAAUUGCCGGAGCACCACCACCAGCAGCAGCCUAUGGACACCAUCCACCGCCACCAGCGGCCAACAGGAGGAAAGGGACGUCCCGCCUUAUCGCCUCCGCCGCCCCACUACAGCAGAAAAGAAUCGGUUGGCCGGCGCCGUCAGCCCCGCGCGGCGGCGGCGGCGGGGGGAGUGUGCGGCUGCUGCGGCAGCGGGUGGUGGAACAGCGAGGGCGCGUCGCGGCCGCCGAGGUCCAUGGAGGACCUGGCGGAGCCCGGCGGCGCGGCGAAGCGGGCGGAGAAGUCGGGGUACCCCGGGAGCUCGCCGCCCGGGGCGCCCUCCGGGGUGGCGCCGUGGCCCUCGUCGAAGUUGAGCGCGUAG